rnacentral:rRNA from 1 species
GUAGGUGGCAAGCGUUGUCCGGAAUUAUUGGGCGUAAAGCGCGCGCAGGCGGGGUUCGUUUAAGUCUGAUGUGAAAGCCCACGGGCUCAACCGUGGAGGGUCAUUGGAAACUGGAGAACUUGAGUACAGAAGAGGAAAGCGGAAUUCCGCGUGUAGCGGUGAAAUGCGUAGAGAUGUGGAGGAACACCAGUGGCGAAGGCGGCUUUCUGGUCUGUAACUGACGCUGAGGCGCGAAAGCGUGGGGAGCAAACAGGAUUAGAUACCCUGGUAGUCCACGCCGUAAACGAUGAGUGCUAAGUGUUAGGGGGUUUCCGCCCCUUAGUGCUACAGCUAACGCAUUAAGCACUCCGCCUGGGGAGUACGGCCGCAAGGCUG